ACUGGCAGAGAGACGGAGAGGACAGAACAGAAAUGGAGGACCAAAACCUGAUAGUAGCAGUGUGCAGCCGUCCUGUCCUGUACGACACAACGAUGGUGUCGUACAGGGACAGGAACAAAAAAGAGAGGGCGUGGGUCGACGUGGCCGAGGAUACUGGCUUUCCUGUGGACGUAUGUCGCAGGAAGUGGAAGUCGCUCAGGGACAGGGACGAAGAGGAAGAGAGCCAGGGUACCAGAGGGGAACACAAAUAUGCAGGGAGCCAUCCUCCAGGCCCUGCAGAGGCAAAAUGCUGUGCCUACCCCUACCCCGCUCUCUGGGAAUGAGCACUUUGUCAUGGGCCUAGUUCCUUCCCUGGAGAGAUUGCCACCUGAAGCACUGGAGUACGUUAAAUUCAAAAUUCGUAAGGUCAUAUUUGACAAUUUCACCCUUAAUUUGGAACCUUUUUAAGCCUAUUAGCUAGUGGUGGUGACAAUCUCUCCAGGGAAAGAACUAGGCUGAUGUCACUGUGCUACUGUUAACUGUUAAUUUGUUAUUGUUCUGUUAUGUUUAUAUCAUAUUGUUCUUAUGUUAUUUUUAUUAUUUUUAUUUUUAUUUUUUAAAUAAAAU
ensembl:lncRNA